rnacentral:rRNA from 1 species
CCAUGCAAGUCGACGCUCCGCAAGGAGAGUGGCAGACGGGUGAGUAACACGUGGGAACGUACCCUUUACUACGGAACAACUCCGGGAAACUGGAGCUAAUACCGUAUGUGCCCUUCGGGGGAAAGAUUUAUCGGUAAAGGAUCGGCCCGCGUUGGAUUAGCUAGUUGGUGGGGUAAAGGCCUACCAAGGCGACGAUCCAUAGCUGGUCUGAGAGGAUGAUCAGCCACAUUGGGACUGAGACACGGCCCAAACUCCUACGGGAGGCAGCAGUGGGGAAUAUUGGACAAUGGGCGCAAGCCUGAUCCAGCCAUGCCGCGUGUGUGAUGAAGGCCUUAGGGUUGUAAAGCACUUUCACCGGAGAAGAUAAUGACGGUAUCCGGAGAAGAAGCCCCGGCUAACUUCGUGCCAGCAGCCGCGGUAAUACGAAGGGGGCUAGCGUUGUUCGGAAUUACUGGGCGUAAAGCGCACGUAGGCGGAUAUUUAAGUCAGGGGUGAAAUCCCAGAGCUCAACUCUGGAACUGCCUUUGAUACUGGGUAUC